AGGGCGGCGCGCGCUGCUGUGGGCGGCGGGCGCGGCGCUGCCGGCGGCGCACACCGCUUACUUGGCGCUGGCCUCGCUCAACAUGUUCGUGCCGAUAAUGGGGCGCGCCGGCACUCCUCCGAUCCCCACUGACGUGCUGAUGGCGCUACUGGUGGCGCUGCUGACGCUGAGCACGCUGAGCUGGGCGCUGCCGCUGGCGGUCGCGGCGCCGGAUCUUAACAAGCUGGCGUGGGGCGCGGCAUGCGUGGCGGCGGCGGGCGCGGCG